GUAGCUCGAAAAACAUCUUCUCUUCUCUCUCUCUCAUCUCUGUUUCGAACACCUCUAUCCGAAGCCAAAAACCAUUCUUUCAUCUGAGAUUACGCUCACCUCUGCUCUCUCAUCUUAGAUCACGCUCACGCAUGCUCAGCAGUCUCUUAUCCAUGCUCACCUCUACUCAGCAGUCUUUGAUCCUAUCCUAGAUCUCUGUCAUACCUCUCACCUCUUAACGCUCUGUGAUUGACGACGAAAGAAGACGAACGAGGAUGAACGACGGCGAACGGGACCGAACGACGGUGAACGAGACGACACGGAAUUUGAGGGACUCUUCUCCGGCACUAAAGGGUCCUCUGGUUUUGUCUUCGAAUUUGUGAAAGGUGAGGCAAUCUGCUGGCUGCAACAUGUGAAUUUUCUGGGCUUUCGGCGUGAAUGUGGCAGCAUCAACUAUGUUAUUGCUGGUCGAGGCUUGUAACUACAGGAUGCAAACACAGGUGAUAAUGGCAGUUUUCAGGAAGCUUUCUUGAAGCAAUUUCAAAAUCUUAUCACCCCUAUAUUAGUGAUUGGCCUGUUUCUUUCAUCAUUUUCAUUUGGUCCUCGUGAGCAACAACAGGUAAGUUAUAUGCUUGAAUAUAUUUCAGGACUUGGUUGUAUGGGGCUUUUAUAAUCAUAGACUCAUAGUUAGUAGGAUAUAUAGCUGAGUCGCAUAUUCAAGUUUUUCGUUAAUGAUACAUACAUAU